UGCUGACGUUCGUAGGAGAUUAGGAACCCAUG
rnacentral:piRNA from 1 species